rnacentral:rRNA from 1 species
GUGGGGAGCAAACAGGAUUAGAUACCCUGGUAGUCCACGCCGUAAACGAUGUCGACUUGGAGGUUGUGCCCUUGAGGCGUGGCUUCCGGAGCUAACGCGUUAAGUCGACCGCCUGGGGAGUACGGCCGCAAGGUUAAAACUCAAAUGAAUUGACGGGGGCCCGCACAAGCGGUGGAGCAUGUGGUUUAAUUCGAUGCAACGCGAAGAACCUUACCUGGUCUUGACAUCCACGGAACUUUCCAGAGAUGAGAAGGUGCCUUCGGGAACCGUGAGACAGGUGCUGCAUGGCUGUCGUCAGCUCGUGUUGUGAAAUGUUGGGUUAAGUCCCGCAACGAGCGCAACCCUUAUCCUUUGUUGCCAGCGGUCCGGCCGGGAACUCAAAGGAGACUGCCAGUGAUAAACUGGAGGAAGGUGGGGAUGACGUCAAGUCAUCAUGGCCCUUACGACCAGGGCUACACACGUGCUACAAUGGCGCAUACAAAGAGAAGCGACCUCGCGAGAGCAAGCGGACCUCAUAAAGUGCGUCGUAGUCCGGAUUGGAGUCUGCAACUCGACUCCAUGAAGUCGGAAUCGCUAGUAAUCGUGGAUCAGAAUGCCACGGUGAAUACGUUCCCGGGCCUUGUACACACCGCCCGUCACACCAUGGGAGUGGGUUGCAAAAGAAGUAGGUAGCUUAAC